UACGGAGGAUCCAAGCGUUAUCCGGAAUCAUUGGGUUUAAAGGGUCCGUAGGCGGUUUAGUAAGUCAGUGGUGAAAGCCCAUCGCUCAACGGUGGAACGGCCAUUGAUACUGCUGAACUUGAAUUAUUAGGAAGUAACUAGGAUAUGUAGUGUAGCGGUGAAAUGCUUAGAGAUUACAUGGAAUACCAAUUGCGAAGGCAGGUUACUACUAAUGGAUUGACGCUGAUGGACGAAAGCGUGGGUAGCGAACAGG
rnacentral:rRNA from 1 species